rnacentral:rRNA from 1 species
UACGUAGGGUGCAAGCGUUGUCCGGAAUUAUUGGGCGUAAAGAGCUCGUAGGCGGUCUGUCGCGUCGGAUGUGAAAGCCCGGGGCUUAACCCCGGGUCUGCAUUCGAUACGGGCAGACUAGAGUGUGGUAGGGGAGAUCGGAAUUCCUGGUGUAGCGGUGAAAUGCGUAGAUAUCUGGAGGAACACCGGUGGCGAAGGCGGCAUCCUGGACCGGCAUUGACGCUGAGGAGCGAAAGCCAGGGGAGCAAACGGG